CCAAAUCAACGGCCGAAAGGCCUUGCCCUAGGGGGGGAGACUCCCCGACGGUAAACCCUUUGUGAAAACCCUUCGUUUGCCUCGGCGGCACCUUUUAAUUAAGGGUCAGCCCGCCGACGGCACCAACCAAAAACUCUUUUUUGAAUUGAAGAAUGUCUGAAUCAAUGGUCGAAUGACUAUA
rnacentral:misc_RNA from 1 species